rnacentral:rRNA from 1 species
CCUACGGGAGGCAGCAGUAGGGAAUUUUGCGCAAUGGGCGAAAGCCUGACGCAGCAACGCCGCGUGAUUGAUUAAGCCCUUCGGGGUGUAAAGAUCUGUCAGUGGGGACGAAACUUGACGGUACCCACAGAGGAAGCACCGGCUAACUCCGUGCCAGCAGCCGCGGUAAUACGGAGGGUGCAAGCGUUGUCCGGAAUCAUUGGGCGUAAAGAGUUCGUAGGUGGCAUAUUAAGUCUGGUGUUAAAUGCAGAAGCUCAACUUCUGUUCGGCACUGGAUACUGGUAAGCUUGAAUGCGGUAGAGGUA